rnacentral:rRNA from 1 species
AUUGAACGCUGGCGGAAUGCUUUACACAUGCAAGUCGAACGGCAGCACGGGGGCAACCCUGGUGGCGAGUGGCGAACGGGUGAGUAAUACAUCGGAACGUGCCCAGUCGUGGGGGAUAACUACGCGAAAGCGUAGCUAAUACCGCAUACGAUCUACGGAUGAAAGCGGGGGAUCGCAAGACCUCGCGCGAUUGGAGCGGCCGAUGGCAGAUUAGGUUGUUGGGAGGUAAAGGCUCACCAAGCCGACGAUCUGUAGCUGGUCUGAGAGGACGACCAGCCACACUGGGACUGAGACACGGCCCAGACUCCUACGGGAGGCAGCAGUGGGGAAUUUUGGACAAUGGGCGCAAGCCUGAUCCAGCCAUUCCGCGUGCAGGAUGAAGGCCCUCGGGUUGUAAACUGCUUUUGUACGGAACGAAACGGCGCUUUCUAAUACAAGGCGCUAAUGACGGUACCGUAAGAAUAAGCACC